rnacentral:rRNA from 1 species
AAGCGGAGGAACAUGUGGUUUAAUUCGUAUGAUACGCAGGAACCUUACCUGGGCUUAAAUGCAGAGUGCAUGGAGUGGAAAACACUUCUUCCCUUCGGGGCUCUUUGCAAGGUGCUGCAUGGUUGUCGUCAGCUCGUGCCGUGAGGUGUCGGGUUAAGUCCCAUAACGAGCGCAACCCUUAUCGUUAGUUGCCAGCGGGUAAAGCCGGGAACUCUAGCGAAACUGCCGGUGUAAACCGAGAGGAAGGUGGGGAUGACGUCAAAUCAGCACGGCCCUUAUGUCCAGGGCUACACACGUGUUACAAUGGCCGGUACAGAGGGCAGCUACCUGGAGACAGGAUGCGAAUCUCGAAAGCCGGUCUCAGUUCGGAUCGGAGUCUGCAACUCGACUCCGUGAAGCUGGAUUCGCUAGUAAUCGCGCAUCAGCCAUGGCGCGGUGAAUACGUUCCCGGGCCUU